rnacentral:rRNA from 1 species
UGGGGAAUUUUCCGCAAUGGGCGAAAGCCUGACGGAGCAACGCCGCGUGCGGGAGGAAGGCCUUAGGGUUGUAAACCGCUUUUCUCAAGGAAGAAGACAGUGACGGUACUUGAGGAAUAAGCCUCGGCUAACUUCGUGCCAGCAGCCGCGGUAAUACGAAGGAGGCAAGCGUUAUCCGGAAUUAUUGGGCGUAAAGCGUCCGCAGGCGGUUAGUCAAGUCUGUUGUUAAAGCGUGAGGCUCAACCUCAUACCGGCAAUGGAAACUGACGGACUAGAGUGCAGUAGGGGUAGCGGGAACUCCCGGUGUAGCGGUGAAAUGCGUAGAUAUCGGGAAGAACACCAGAGGCGAAGGCGCGCUACUGGGCUGUAACUGACGCUCAUGGACGAAAGCUAGGGGAGC